CAUAUACUCCCUCCGUCUCAAAAUUUUUGUCUUAAAUUUAUUUAGAUAUGGAUGUACGUAAUACUAAAACGCGACUUGAUAUAUUUGUAUUUAAAAAAUUGAAGACAAGAAUUUUGGGACGGAGGGAGUACUCU
rfam:Triticum aestivum genome assembly, contig: Triticum_aestivum_CS42_TGACv1_scaffold_591795_7BS